CAAGAUCACAAGCUCGAUCUGCUCAACCAUCACUUGUGCAUCUAACAAGCAAAUUACGUGCCAUAUUUGCACGUUCACCGAAUGCCCAUGAUGGGCCUGCGAAUGAAGUGUGUACUCCCGUUUCUACCUCGACGCAACAUACUAAUGACACUAUAGUUGGUGAAAACUUUACCCAACCAGAAGAAAGUGGCCCUACACCGAUGUCCGGUGAGCAAGGGUCUUCAAAAGGGUCUGGACCAUGUGAGUUUUCUCUAGAUCUAUUUAGUUAACAUAUGUUAUACACAUUUGUAUAUAUAUGUUAAUACAUAGUUUUUGUUGUCUUGUUAAUUUGUUGUUCCCUUUACUUCUUCACAUCUAAUUUUUUAAAUAGCUUCAUCUUCAGCAAAGAAAAUAUGCGGACCUACUUGCGGUAUUGGACUUGAGAAGCUCACCAAGGCAAAAGGAAAGAAGUUGGCUAUCAAUGUGUCACCUAGUAAAGGGAGGCCCACAAAUCCUAUAGAAUUUGCUAAGUUGUCGUCGGAGAUAGGAUUGAUGGUCCGCAACAACCUCCCAAUGAAUACCAAAUUCAAGGAUAUUACAGAGGGAAUAAUUGAAUAAUCAUUGUCGAGGAUUGAAGUAAGUUGCAGAAAAUUAAAUUAUGUCAAAUAUUGUUAUUCCUAGUUGGGUCUGCUUUGUUUUUUCUGAAAAAGGCUAAAUUUAUUUCUGAAAAGAUUCCCAAAUCCAACAGUUAUGGAUAUGAGGGGAACCGCACUACAUCGAUCUGAAUACAUCGAAAACUCUUACAAAAAACUGAAUAUAACAUGCAAGCAUACAUAAAUUGAGUGCUAGUGUUCUAGAUAUCAUCUUGUUUUGAUUUGAUCUAUUUGUCCUUUUGGCAGUUAGUUUUUGUUUUAUGUGUUGUUUCAAUCCCUAAAUUAACUGACCUUACUAAAGUAUUCAAUUGCUCUAGUUAAAAGUAGUAGUGCUUUAGUUUUGCAGCACGGUCGAGAAGUGGACAGUAAUAUAUAGUCAUUUUAUGUUUGUUGCUAGCACAGACUUUUUCUUGUAGACCAGAAAGAUAGUGCUUAUAAUUUAAAAAACAAUCUCCGCAUAAAUCUUCUCCUUAAAAGAGGAAUUUAGGCUUGGCUUAAGCCUGUUAAGGUAAGAUGAAUAAAUUUAUGGUGGUGAGAUAUGCACACUAUACAAGUAUAUGUUGAUAAUUAUUAUACAAUCUUGCAUUGCAUUAACAAUGCAUAUAUUGAGCAAGCAACUAUCAGUUAGGCAUGUCCAUAUAUUAGCACCAUAUAUUUAUUAGAACAAGCUAAAAAUUAUUGAUGAUUAAACCACCAACAUAGUUCUUCCUAAAAUAGGAUCUUACUAAUGCAUAUCACUUAAGCAUUUGUUGUUCAUCGUUCAGAGAAGGUAUGUAUGUAUGUAUAUUUGUUUCAAUUUGGUUAAAUUUGUUGAGGAUUGUGAUUUUGUGUGAAGGAGCCUCAAAUUUUCAGCAACAAGGAUCUUUUAAUUUAUUGGCAUGACAUUAGAAGACAUGUAAGGUGAAAUGCAUCCCUCAAUAAUGCUCUCGUUAUUAGUUAUUCUAAUUUGAUUUUCAGGGAGAUCCAAUUGAAGGUUACAAAAGCACACAUCAAAAAAAGCGAACAAACGAGUGGGUACAACCUGAAAAUGAAUAUGCACACGUAAGUUAUACAAACCUUACCUUGUUUUUGAUAACAAAGGUAGUCAGACAUGAUUUAGGCAUUAGUCUUGAUUUACAUUGCAAUCUUUUAACUGAAGUUAACGAAGCUACUUGAUUUAGACAUAAUUUAUGUCUAAUAAUCUUGUUUUUUAAGUUGAAUAAAAAAAUAGCAGUAGCUUUAACACAUGUUGAUCAAUCUAGAUUCUUAGAUUACUGAUGGAGCUAGAUUUUAUGAAUGUUACAUUAAGAGAGAUUUAUUUAACAGCUCUUGUAUAGCUCAUGCCUGAAGCUUGACUGCAUGUACAUGUAAAUCAUUUGGUGCUAGCUUGGUUUUAGUGAAAUUGCAAGCUUUGUUCAAGUGCUUAGCAACCUCGAUCAUUCUUAUGUGUGCACCUAAAGUAGUACCUGCAGUUCAAUUGUGUUUUAUAUGCGUCAUCUGUUAUGAUUAUGAUUCCGUUAUUUAAUGGAUGACCAAAUUUGCUGAAUGUGGUUGUGACAUAAAUUCUGAACAUGUUGCUUUUGACAUAUAGCUUAGGUUCUGUUUACUGUUUUUAUGGCACUGCCACAGUUUUCUGCGAGUUAGGAUAACUAAUUAAUUUGCUCGGUUUCUUAUUUUAAGUUGCUUAGAAAUAGUUCGGGUAAUUUCCCGUAAUAGCAACGGUAUAAUCUUUAGCCUUGUUUGAAGACUGCACAUGCUAUGCUACAUUUACUUAACUUCAUUUUUCAGAAUUUCACUUUUGAUUCUAACCUGAUGGGUUUUGAGUCUUGUAGUUAAUUUCACAUAAUGAAAUGAAAUCACUUGAGAGUGAAUGCAUCUCUAACAUGGAAGCAGAAUCUGAAAAUAUUGACACUAAUGACAAAAGGGAGAUUAUGACUCGAGUGUUGGGUAAGAAGGCCGGGAGAUUGCUUGAUUUUGAAUUUGGUCCUCGAGCGGAGAAGUUUCAUCUAGCAAGAAAGAAAAAGCAUUGGCAAUAGAGUUGGAAACAUUCCGCUCUAAGAAUGAAGAGUUUCAAUCAAUCUGAAAGCAUUCAGGUACAAGAGAAACGGAUUGACAAUCUCGAGAAUAUAAUGAACAAAUGGGCCGACAAUCCAAAAUUCUUACGGUUGAUUCAAGGCAUCACCAACUUAGGGACAAAAAGAGUUGAAAACAACUGCUAAUCAUUAUUUAUUGACAUUCAAAACUGUUGAACUUUUGUUGUGGACAUUACAAAAAUUUUGAUAUUUUGUUAAACAUGUUAGACUUGGUAAAUCAUUAAUAUAAAGUACAAUGGAUGA
rnacentral:lncRNA from 1 species